rnacentral:lncRNA from 1 species
GGCUUCUGAUUAUUUUGCCCUUUCUCCAAUGCUCCUAUCAAAGCAUUGGUCAUGACUAGGUCAUUAGUUCAACACCCGUCCUCCCAGGAACGGGGUGAGGGUGCCAAACCUAAGUAGCGCUACUAACUAAUACCCGAUGAGGGACUUACAAAAGAUGAUAGGUGAGAAUAUUAACCAAUAUACCCGUUUUUACCCAAAGACUUAUCC